rnacentral:rRNA from 1 species
GACGAACGCUGGCGGCGUGCUUAACACAUGCAAGUCGAACGGAAAGGCCCUGCUUUUGUGGGGUGCUCGAGUGGCGAACGGGUGAGUAACACGUGAGUAACCUGCCCUUGACUUUGGGAUAACAUCAGGAAACUGGGGCUAAUACCGGAUAGGAGCUCCUGCUGCAUGGUGGGGGUUGGAAAGUUUCGGCGGUUGGGGAUGGACUCGCGGCUUAUCAGCUUGUUGGUGGGGUAGUGGCUUACCAAGGCUUUGACGGGUAGCCGGCCUGAGAGGGUGACCGGCCACAUUGGGACUGAGAUACGGCCCAGACUCCUACGGGAGGCAGCAGUGGGGAAUAUUGCACAAUGGGCGGAAGCCUGAUGCAGCAACGCCGCGUGCGGGAUGACGGCCUUCGGGUUGUAAACCGCUUUCGCCUGUGACGAAGCGUGAGUGACGGUAAUGGGUAAAGAAGCACCGGCUAACUACGU